rnacentral:rRNA from 2 species
GACGACGCUGGCGGCGUGCCUAAUACAUGCAAGUCGAACGAACUCUGGUAUUGAUUGGUGCUUGCAUCAUGAUUUACAUUUGAGUGAGUGGCGAACUGGUGAGUAACACGUGGGAAACCUGCCCAGAAGCGGGGGAUAACACCUGGAAACAGAUGCUAAUACCGCAUAACAACUUGGACCGCAUGGUCCGAGCUUGAAAGAUGGCUUCGGCUAUCACUUUUGGAUGGUCCCGCGGCGUAUUAGCUAGAUGGUGGGGUAACGGCUCACCAUGGCAAUGAUACGUAGCCGACCUGAGAGGGUAAUCGGCCACAUUGGGACUGAGACACGGCCCAAACUCCUACGGGAGGCAGCAGUAGGGAAUCUUCCACAAUGGACGAAAGUCUGAUGGAGCAACGCCGCGUGAGUGAAGAAGGGUUUCGGCUCGUAAAACUCUGUUGUUAAAGAAGAACAUAUCUGAGAGUAACUGUUCAGGUAUUGACGGUAUUUAACCAGAAAGCCACGGCUAACUACGUGCCAGCAGCCGCGGUAAUACGUAGGUGGCAAGCGUUGUCCGGAUUUAUUGGGCGUAAAGCGAGCGCAGGCGGUUUUUUAAGUCUGAUGUGAAAGCCUUCGGCUCAACCGAAGAAGUGCAUCGGAAACUGGGAAACUUGAGUGCAGAAGAGGACAGUGGAACUCCAUGUGUAGCGGUGAAAUGCGUAGAUAUAUGGAAGAACACCAGUGGCGAAGGCGGCUGUCUGGUCUGUAACUGACGCUGAGGCUCGAAAGUAUGGGUAGCAAACAGGAUUAGAUACCCUGGUAGUCCAUACCGUAAACGAUGAAUGCUAAGUGUUGGAGGGUUUCCGCCCUUCAGUGCUGCAGCUAACGCAUUAAGCAUUCCGCCUGGGGAGUACGGCCGCAAGGCUGAAACUCAAAGGAAUUGACGGGGGCCCGCACAAGCGGUGGAGCAUGUGGUUUAAUUCGAAGCUACGCGAAGAACCUUACCAGGUCUUGACAUACUAUGCAAAUCUAAGAGAUUAGACGUUCCCUUCGGGGACAUGGAUACAGGUGGUGCAUGGUUGUCGUCAGCUCGUGUCGUGAGAUGUUGGGUUAAGUCCCGCAACGAGCGCAACCCUUAUUAUCAGUUGCCAGCAUUAAGUUGGGCACUCUGGUGAGACUGCCGGUGACAAACCGGAGGAAGGUGGGGAUGACGUCAAAUCAUCAUGCCCCUUAUGACCUGGGCUACACACGUGCUACAAUGGAUGGUACAACGAGUUGCGAACUCGCGAGAGUAAGCUAAUCUCUUAAAGCCAUUCUCAGUUCGGAUUGUAGGCUGCAACUCGCCUACAUGAAGUCGGAAUCGCUAGUAAUCGCGGAUCAGCAUGCCGCGGUGAAUACGUUCCCGGGCCUUGUACACACCGCCCGUCACACCAUGAGAGUUUGUAACACCCAAAGUCGGUGGGGUAACCUUUUAGGAACCAGCCGCCUAAGGUGGGACAGAUGAUUAGGGG